rnacentral:lncRNA from 1 species
CUGGUCCCUUAUUAAGACUCUAUUCCUGGGUGAUUAGAUUGUAUCAAGUUAAUAAUUAAAUAAACUGCCACAAUCACCUCUUCAGAAUGGCUUCCUGUCCCCUCUUCUGAUUUAUUUUUUCUCUGUAUCCCAAACUAAUUUAGAAUAUAUUUUACUAGUUGCAUUAUUGUUCAUACAAGGACCAAUAUGAUAUGAAAAAUGUGUUUUUGUCACCUCUGUUCCUUGCUGAAUCCCCAAAUCCCACAGCAUCCACAAAGUAGGUGUUCAAGAAAUAUUGUCGAACUAAUUAAUGAACCAAUGAGUAACUAGCAUAGAGAAGUCAAGAGAGCGGGUGCUGAGACACUGGAGCUCAGAGAGUGAAGUCACUGACCUAAAGCCACACAGAGUGAACAGAAGAGCCAGGCUGGAAGCCAGACAUCCCAGCCCUCACCCUGGACUCCUUCCUCUGUGCUUCUUAGUAUCUCAUAAUGUGCUGUCCCUUUAGCUGAGCUUUCUCUUUUUCUGCAAUCCCGGCCAACUGUGAGGUCUGGAGAGCCACCACAUCACGUGGAAGAAAAGGACAAGAUGCCAAGAUGCCUCACCUGGUUUUUCUACUCCAGCAGUCUAUCUGUUGAACCAAGCUGUGUUACAAGGCACUUUUCUAAGCACUAGGUGAUAGCAAUGAACACGCAGACAAGGUUCCACCCGCAGAGAACUAACUUCCCACUCAAGCAAUAAGAGAAAAGUUGUUGAACAAGAAAUAACAAUACCAUCAAGCUAUAUAGGAGAAGACUGACUGCUGUGCCAAAGAAAGCACAAUGGUUACUUCUUGAUUGGAGGAUUGGAUGAUCUGGACCUGUUUCCUCAUGUUGAUGGGUACCAUACAUAGCCGGCUGAAAACUCUCCCCAGGAAGAUGGUGUCUGGGUGAGGAAGUGCCAUGGAGAAAGAGAACAUCAGGAAAUGGAGGUGGGCGUGGCUUCUCCUGGAGAAACCCCAAGUAUCAUAAGUCUCAGGAACUACUUAGUCUUCCAUUUUUGCCCUCUUCCCCCACUGUGUCUGGCUGAUCCCCCUAAUGAGUUUUUCUCCAGCUGACACAGGAGGCCUUUUGUAGUCACAGAAAACACACCAGCCACAGCCACAGCCCCCGAAGCAUCACCUGUAAACUCUCCAAGAAGUGCCUGUCUCUCAUUGUCUACUGUUUCAAUGCAGUGACUGCCUGACCACCACCUCUGCCACAGCCUUUCCACCUAGAUCCUCCCUCUGCUCAGCCCACUUGAGACUGGGAAGCUGGUCUGCUCUGCACUUAGCUGCUCUCACUCCCUCAGUGGGGCUACAGCUCUCCUGUCAGGGACUCUGGGAAAGUUCACUUCCUCUUUUGACUUCUCAGUAUGUAAGAAUUCUUCCAGAAUUGGUGGUUCAUCAAUUUCCUCUUUUGUUUCUUCUAAAAAGCUUAACGUGGGGGAAUCUACGGGUUCAGCAAGUACUAGAGGACCAGAGGAAGGGUUUUAAGAACAUUCACUGAGUACUCAAAGGCACAGGAACUAGACUCCCUGGGACAUAACAGAGCACACCAGAGCUUGGUAUAGGGAUUUCUGCAUGUCCAGGAAGCCCCUGAGAUACCUGCUCAGAAUGUAGUGAGUCCCUGUCCCUCUAGAACACCGAACCAGUCAGAAGGCAGAGGUAUGAGAGGCAGCCAGGGGAGAUCAUCACGGAGACCUGGCUUCAUAUAUUUCAUCUGUAGACUCUCUACCACUUGUCUGUGACUUAUUUUGCUUGAACUAUGUUAUAUUUUCUCUAGCUACAGAAGUAAAACAUAAUCAUUAUGGAAACAUAAUCAAAGUACAGAUGAGGAACGAAGUUCAAUAAUAAAAUGCUGGCAUGUCCUUUUAUGAAAAGAGAAAACUCACUAUUUGUAAAAGAUUUGUGUGUAUGUGGGCAUGCCAUCUAUGAAGACACCUGUGUAGGCCAUAAGAGGGUAUUGGAUCCCUUAGAACUGGAGUGACAGGCGGCCGUGAGCCCUUGACACGGGUGAUGAGAACCAAGCUUGGGGUUUGGGUUCUAUGGAAGAACAGAAAGGACUUUUAACUGCUGAUCCGCCUAUCUGGCCUCCAACUUUCUCACUUUUCAAGCGAGAUCACACUUUUUGUGGCGUUCUUAUAGCCUCUAUAUAAAGAACAACUUCCGACAGCUGUAACAGCAUUAACUUGGGCAAAUAAUAGUUCAUGAGUCUGCAAAACUCAGAACCACAUGAGAGUCAAAGAGCCACACAGUAUGAGUAGCUGCCUGUUAUAAACCGGUUAUGGAAGUUAAGCAGAGACAUUACUGGGGUUAUAGCUGAUAUGGCAGGACACAGUGGCUGUCUGUGAUUGGCUAAAGCUCAGCUGUUUAUGAUUGGCUGAAACCUGGCCAUUCAUUACAAAACAAAAAAAAGCACUCAGGCUUCAGUGUGCAUGCAUACCAAACUACAAUGUAGUUUGCUUCAUAGGAACUCAGAGAACAGAGGCAGCCUCUAGCUAAAGGCCCCUGCUUAUUUAAUAUAGCACCCCUGUGGGGCAUUUUUAAAUGUUGUUUCAUAUACC